GACGAACGCUGGCGGCGUGCUUAACACAUGCAAGUCGAACGAUGAAGCUGGAGCUUGCUCCGGUGGAUUAGUGGCGAACGGGUGAGUAACACGUGAGAAGUCUGCCCUUGACUCUGGGAUAACUGCGGGAAACUGUAGCUAAUACCGGAUAUUUUCCUUGGUGGGCAUCCACUGGGGAAGAAAGAAUUUCGGUCAAGGAUGAUCUCGCGGCCUAUCAGCUAGUUGGUGAGGUAAUGGCUCACCAAGGCGACGACGGGUAGCCGGCCUGAGAGGGUGACCGGCCCCACUGGGACUGAGACACGGCCCAGACUCCUACGGGAGGCAGCAGUGGGGAAUAUUGCACAAUGGGCGCAAGCCUGAUGCAGCAACGCCGCGUGAGGGAUGAAGGCCUUCGGGUUGUAAACCUCUUUUAGCAGGGAAGAAGCGAAAGUGACGGUACCUGCAGAAAAAGCACCGGCUAACUACGUGCCAGCAGCCGCGGUAA
rnacentral:rRNA from 1 species